rnacentral:rRNA from 1 species
GAUGAACGCUAGCGGGAGGCCUAACACAUGCAAGCCGAGCGGUAGAGAUUCUUCGGAAUCUUGAGAGCGGCGUACGGGUGCGGAACACGUGUGCAACCUGCCUUUAUCAGGGGGAUAGCCUUUCGAACGGAAGAUUAAUACCCCAUCAUAUAUUUGAUGGCGUCAUUAUAUAUUGAAAGCUUUGGCGGGUUGUGAUGGGCACUCUCAAGAUUAGAUAGUUGGUUAGGUAACGGCUCACCAAGUCGAUGUUCUUUAGGGGGGCUGAGAGGGUGAUCCCCCAGACCGGUAAUGAGACACAGACCAGAAUGCUACGGGAGGGAGGAGUGAGGAAUAUUGGGCAAGGGGGUAGGGCCUGAUACAGCCAUCCCGGGGGAAGGACGACGGCCAUAGGGAUUGUAAACUUCUUGUGUACAAGGAUAAACCUACUCACGAGAGAGUAGCUGAAGGUACUGUACGAAUAAGCACCGGCUAACUCCGUG